rnacentral:rRNA from 1 species
AUUGAACGCUGGCGGCAUGCCUUACACAUGCAAGUCGAACGGCAGCACGGGAGCAAUCCUGGUGGCGAGUGGCGAACGGGUGAGUAAAGCAUCGGGACGUGCCCAGUCGUGGGGGAUAACGUAGCGAAAGCUACGCUAAUACCGCAUACGAUCUGUGGAUGAAAGCGGGGGACCGUAAGGCCUCGCGCGAUUGGAGCGGCCGAUGUCAGAUUAGGUAGUUGGUGAGGUAAAGGCUCACCAAGCCGACGAUCUGUAGCUGGGCUGAGAGGACGACCAGCCACACUGGGACUGAGACACGGCCCAGACUCCUACGGGAGGCAGCAGUGGGGAAUUUUGGACAAUGGGCGCAAGCCUGAUUCAGCAAUGCCGCGUGCAGGAUGAAGGCCUUCGGGUUGUAAACUGCUUUUGUACGGAGCGAAACGGCUUCCACUAAUACUGGGGGCUAAUGACGGUACCGUAAGAAUAAGCACCGGCUAACUACGUGCCAGCCGCCGCAGUAAGAC